rnacentral:rRNA from 1 species
GUGCCAGCCGCCGCGGUAAUACGUAGGUGGCAAGCGUUGUCCGGAUUUAUUGGGCGUAAAGCGCGCGCAGGCGGUUCGUUAAGUCCGAGGUGAAAUCUCCCGGCUCAACUGGGAGGGGUCUUCGGAUACUGGCGGACUUGAGGAGAGCAGAGGUGAGCGGAAUUCUCGGUGUAGUGGUGAAAUGCGUAGAUAUCGAGAGGAACACCAGUGGCGAAGGCGGCUCACUGGGCUCCACCUGACGCUGAGGCGCGAAAGCGUGGGGAGCGAACCGGAUUAGAAACCCCAGUAGUCC